CCAAACACACGUGUGAACCAUCAUUCAUACAUCAUACAUCCAAAACUUGUACUAUAAAAAAGAAGUAAACAAUAAAAAAAAUAGUUAGGCUCUAAGUAGUGGGCUAACGCACCCUUUCAAAUGGAGGGUUUUCAUUGGCGUCCUUUUAAACCCGUUACGGUUGGCGUUAAACGACUACACUCAGCCUAACUAUAACAAAAAUAAAUUACAUAACCGGCCCGCCAUCCGGAACAACACUAUUCGAAUUCGCUGCCCUAAUCAUCCCCACCGCCGAACCACCACCACCACCACCGCCACGUGUACGUCCCUUAAUCCUCCUCAACUCCGCCACCACUUCUUUCGCAUCGGGCCGAUCAUCCCUAUCGGCUGCCACACACCGAAACGAAAGCUCCGCCACCGCCGCGACAGCACCACCAUCCACCGUAGCUAACCUCGGAUCAAUCACCUCCGCCAACAACCCCAUCUGAAUCUUCCCCACCGCCAUAUCCGCCAACGUCAUCUCCCUCUUAUCUCUAUUCACAUCAACCGCUUUCAUCCCGGUAACCAAUUCCAAUAAUACCACUCCAAAACUAUAAAUAUCACUCUUUUCGGUCAACCGGAACGACCGGUAAUAAUCCGGAUCCAAGUACCCAGGAGUCCCUUGCGGACCGGUCCACACACAACCCGGAUCCAACAACCUUGAUAACCCGAAAUCCCCAACUUUAACACGCAUAUCCUUGUCCGCAAAUAUGUUGUUCGACGUAAUGUCUCUAUGAACAAUCGGCGGAACGACCGAAAAAUGAAGGUACUCGAUCGCAACAGCGAUCUGUAACGCGAUAUCCAGCCGCACGUGCCAGGGUAAACACGUUUUCCUGUGCACGUGCAGAUGAUCCGAAAGCGUUCCAUUAGGCACAUACUCGUACACAAGUAACAACCCUCUCGGGUCACUACAAUACCCAUGAAGUUUAACCAAAUUCGGGUGGUUUAACGACGACAAUAUCAAGAUCUCAUUACAAAAAGACUUCAUUGAGACCGAAUUCGAAGUGGGAUUUUGUUUGUGUAAGAAUUUAAUAGCGAAAACCCUGUUUUGUUGUUCAAAAUGACCCACGAAAACCGACCCGAACCCGCCGUCACCGAUUUUGUGAACCGGGUCGAAGUUGUUGGUUGCUUGUUGAAGCUCUUCGAAAGUGUAAACCGGUGGUAACAAGCUGGCAGACCGGUGCCUGUGGAGGUAGACAACCGCUGGAUCUUGAACCGGUGAUAGCUUUUUUGUUCUUGAAAUAUAUGUAAAUAAAAUAAUUAGUAACAUACAUAAGACCAAUGUAGCUAAAGACAUCAUAGCUAUACGUAUGUUACGUUUUGUGUGAACCGGUUUUUGGGUUUUGAAGUUCGUUGUUUGAAGGCAUAAAAACGGUUUGUUGGGGUGGGUAGAGUUGUAUCCACAGGUUCCGUUUAAGGAUUUGCAAGAUUUGCAGGUGGUGAAGUAAGAAUCUUGUUGUUGAUAUUCGACUUGGAUUCCGAAUCUUAGGAAGCUGUCGAGGAAACCUAGGAUGUCUGGUUGACAGCCUUCAUGGGUGAGUUGUGGAGGAGGAUGAGAUCCACAAGAGUUGAUGAGGUAAGGUGGUGGUGGUGGGUGGGUUGCAAGGGGUGAUGUAAGAGAGGCGAGAGCAGAAUGAGUCGGUGGGUUUGAAUGGUGAGUGUGAGAGGUUUAUGGGUUGGGUUGGGAUGGUGGUGGUGGUGGUGGUGCAUUUAGUGGUGGUGGGGGUGGGGGUGGGGUGGGGGAAGAGGGAGAGGGUGGGGGUGGUGGGGUCGUAGGUGAGGAGAGAGAAGUGGUGGUUGUUGAUGGUGAUGGUGGCGGAGAGUGGUGGUGGGUGGCAUGUGAUUUGGAAGGAUGGGUGGCCGGAGCCAGGGGUGGUAGAGAAAGGGUAUGGUGGUGUAGUGGUGGUGAAUGGUGGGCAUAGGUGAGAUGUUACGGUGGUUAGAAGGAAGAUGAGUGGUGGAAUAAGGCGGAAUAGUGGUGGCAUUAUUUGUGGUCAGAGUGUGGAGAUCUGAAGAAUCUUUUGG
rnacentral:lncRNA from 1 species